GGCCUACCAGAGAAACAUACACCCUCCUGUCUGCUUAACAUACAGGCUGUGAGAAAGCCCCAGAAUCCUGCAGUUGAUAGUUGGUGGACACAGCUACAGAUGCAGGCCCUAGCUGUGAGAGCGGCAUACAGCUGAUCUAAACUGGGGCAGUGCAUGUCUGGAAGUUCUCUUUCAAUGGGGAACUCAUUAAAGUGCUUUUUAUGAAGAUCCUCCCUCAGGCUGGUUGGUAACUGAUAUACACCAUUGUAGCCCCUGGAGAAAGGUUAACCGUAGGUGCUGUGCCCUGCUCCAACCUGCUGGGGAAAUCACAGUGAGGUGCAGAGUGACUGCAAAUCUCAACUUCCAAUCUGGAGGAAGAGGGGCAUGGGUCUCCACCCAGUCUGGGAGCCUGAAAC